GGAAUAUCCCUAUAUCCACUGACAGUUAUUUUUUGGAGAUCCUGAUAUAACGAGAAAUAAUCGAACGAUACAUCCGUAUGACGAUUGUUUUGUGGUGUUUUUUUUUUUUUUUUUUACAUAUAAGCUAGGCAGCGAAAAGAUAAGUUGUGUAUAGUUCAAUGACCAUAUUAUCUACCUCAUUUUUAAUACGGAACAUGAUCUAUACGUUACACAUAUAAUUUAUUUAAUUUAUUUGAAUGACUGUGGGGUUUUCAUGUAGGAGUGUGAGUUUAUUUGUCGACGGUGCUACAUUUAUUUCUGGGUGUCUUUUUUUUAUUAUAUAUAUUGUGUCGCACAUUAAAACAGAAAUUGAUGUUUAAAAUCUG
rnacentral:misc_RNA from 1 species